AAGGAGACAGACAGUUCUCUGGAAAACAAGGAUUUUGUGAGCUAUAGGAAGCCUCAGUUUGGCCGAAGGCUAGUCCUUGACAAUUUGGGACUUCACACUACAUUGGCUAGCUUGGUAACUUCCUGACAAAAAAACCACACCCACCAAAUAUUCCGCAGGGCCCCUGAACAGGAGAGGGAAGCAGAGGGGGCUGGCAGGGUGGCUUCAGCGGUGAGCAGUUUUCCAGGCAGAGCAGAAAGGCAGGUAAGACAACACCGUGGUAGGGAGCAAUUCCACUGGCGUCGGCAGCUGAGGGUCUAGAACAGUGGACUGGGAAAUCAGGAAGGACAUGAGGCAGCGCCUCUAACUUCAGGUUGAGGAAUUUGGCCAGGUUGCAAGAGCUCAGUUAAAUGGGGAUGGUGCGCCCCCUGGGAGCAGUGUUUGGUAGUGGAGGAUGGAUGACCCAGAUAAGGAGGGGUGGGGGCCAACUCAAGAUGUGGGUAGUUUGUCUGGCUGUUUUCUUUGGAAACUUUGUCUGGCAUGAUGGGUUCUUGGGCUCCCAGAAUGGCUGGGCUGGAAGAGACCUUGAAAAAGGAACUAGCGUCACGUUCCCCAUCCCAAAGCUGGGAACUUUCGUGAACAAUUACCAUUCCUAACUCUGCUUCCAGGUGGGUGUCAUCAGCCCCAUUUUUCAGGAGUUUGAGGGAACGAGCAUCGGGUGUGAGAUACCCAAGCUUCCCAAGGGACCACAGCGUGAGUGUACUUUUCGGCGACAACUGCGCCUCCCUUGUCGCGACAGUACUGAUCACUGUCGCUUUCCUUUAAGGGGCUUCCCUUGAAAUAUGAAACCCUCACCCUCUCCCGCACUAAUUUCUCCCUCUCCCGCACUAAUUCCCACUGGUGACACCAAUUCUCCUUCAGUGGCGAGUAGAAGCCUGGGACUACGUUUCCCUACAGGCCGUUCAGAAAGGGGUGGUGAGGACAGGCGGGAAGAGACUUUCCGUUUCCGGCGGCUAGCAGUUUGGCGUGUCCGCGGCGAUGCACACUUCACAGCCCACGUCCUUUCUCAGCUGUGCUCGGGCAGGGACUACGUCCCCCAGCAGGCACUGGCGCAGAGGUCGGGGUAUCGGCUACCAUCUUUGUUGUAGUUCUUCUCCACGUCUCCGCAGGGAACGGCCUUAGCGCUUGGACUACAAAUCCCAAGUCGCGCCCCUCCCCGGCCGCCACCUCGGCCCAGUCCCCGCCCGGCCCUCCAUUGUCUCCUCGGAGGCGAUGGCGGCCGGGAAGACUACAACUCCCGUCGGGCUGUGCGCCGCCGGGUGCGGGGCUGGAGCCAUUCUUAAAGGACAGUGGGAGGCUAGAAAACUACUAUUCCCAUCGCACCUCAUGGGACCGACUGCUGGUCAGGGGUACGCCCCCUCUUCCGCCAUCUUGCUUGUAGUCCUCGUUCUUUUUCACCUUUCCAUUGUUCCUGACGAGUAGAAAUGGCAGCGGGAAGGCAGCAGAUGGACUGCGAGUCCCGUCAGGUACUGCACACGCGGAGGGUUGUGGAUAGGAGGGCGUGUGACUGCCUGGGAAGGAGGUCGGGGCGGGGGAGAUAGCCAUCUUGUUUGUAGUCCUCGUUCCCGCUUCUUUUCUAUGCUCGGCCACUGGGCGCCUCAGGCCAAGCGGACUAGCACUCCCGGCGUGCUCGGCGGCCGGCCCCGCGCGCCAUGCGCCAUCUUGUCUGUAGUGCCCCGCCGGCCCGCGCUCCCUUGCUUCCGCAGUAGCGCCAGCGCUCGCAGAACUACAACUCUCGCCGUGCCUCGCGCGCGCUUAUCCUGGAAAGCGGAGGAGGUGGAGGGAGGCUGGGGCAGGGGGCGGGCUCCUCUGGGAGAAGGAGGGAGUAGAGGA